rnacentral:rRNA from 2 species
AGAGACGCUGGCGGCGUGCCUAAUACAUGCAAGUCGAACGAGUUCUCGUUGAUGAUCGGUGCUUGCACCGAGAUUCAACAUGGAACGAGUGGCGGACGGGUGAGUAACACGUGGGUAACCUGCCCUUAAGUGGGGGAUAACAUUUGGAAACAGAUGCUAAUACCGCAUAGAUCCAAGAACCGCAUGGUUCUUGGCUGAAAGAUGGCGUAAGCUAUCGCUUUUGGAUGGACCCGCGGCGUAUUAGCUAGUUGGUGAGGUAAUGGCUCACCAAGGCGAUGAUACGUAGCCGAACUGAGAGGUUGAUCGGCCACAUUGGGACUGAGACACGGCCCAAACUCCUACGGGAGGCAGCAGUAGGGAAUCUUCCACAAUGGACGCAAGUCUGAUGGAGCAACGCCGCGUGAGUGAAGAAGGCUUUCGGGUCGUAAAACUCUGUUGUUGGAGAAGAAUGGUCGGCAGAGUAACUGUUGUCGGCGUGACGGUAUCCAACCAGAAAGCCACGGCUAACUACGUGCCAGCAGCCGCGGUAAUACGUAGGUGGCAAGCGUUAUCCGGAUUUAUUGGGCGUAAAGCGAGCGCAGGCGGUUUUUUAAGUCUGAUGUGAAAGCCCUCGGCUUAACCGAGGAAGCGCAUCGGAAACUGGGAAACUUGAGUGCAGAAGAGGACAGUGGAACUCCAUGUGUAGCGGUGAAAUGCGUAGAUAUAUGGAAGAACACCAGUGGCGAAGGCGGCUGUCUGGUCUGUAACUGACGCUGAGGCUCGAAAGCAUGGGUAGCGAACAGGAUUAGAUACCCUGGUAGUCCAUGCCGUAAACGAUGAAUGCUAGGUGUUGGAGGGUUUCCGCCCUUCAGUGCCGCAGCUAACGCAUUAAGCAUUCCGCCUGGGGAGUACGACCGCAAGGUUGAAACUCAAAGGAAUUGACGGGGGCCCGCACAAGCGGUGGAGCAUGUGGUUUAAUUCGAAGCAACGCGAAGAACCUUACCAGGUCUUGACAUCUUUUGAUCACCUGAGAGAUCAGGUUUCCCCUUCGGGGGCAAAAUGACAGGUGGUGCAUGGUUGUCGUCAGCUCGUGUCGUGAGAUGUUGGGUUAAGUCCCGCAACGAGCGCAACCCUUAUGACUAGUUGCCAGCAUUUAGUUGGGCACUCUAGUAAGACUGCCGGUGACAAACCGGAGGAAGGUGGGGAUGACGUCAAAUCAUCAUGCCCCUUAUGACCUGGGCUACACACGUGCUACAAUGGAUGGUACAACGAGUUGCGAGACCGCGAGGUCAAGCUAAUCUCUUAAAGCCAUUCUCAGUUCGGACUGUAGGCUGCAACUCGCCUACACGAAGUCGGAAUCGCUAGUAAUCGCGGAUCAGCACGCCGCGGUGAAUACGUUCCCGGGCCUUGUACACACCGCCCGUCACACCAUGAGAGUUUGUAACACCCGAAGCCGGUGGCGUAACCCUUUUAGGGAGCGAGCCGUCUAAGGUGGGACAAAUGAUUAGGGGAA